UUAUCUAUCAGUUAGCAUUGUGUAUACAUUAUAUACCAUUUUUACCGUGGGGCUACGUUAUCGGUGGAUUACUCGUACGUCGGUAGAGGGUAUUAUGAGUGAUACAGUUGUGUGUUUCGUUAAUUGGCCACCGAGAUCAAAGCUUAUCUGGCCAGUUAUCGAGAGAGGAAAUCAGUUUGACAAAGGGGUGGAAGUAGAGGCGGUCAGUUAGCGAAGCAAAAUUCUGGCCAGUUAACGCGACAUUACUGUAUCUCUUAUGUCAGAUACAUCGAUUUGUCGCAAUCAGCCGACGGCAUCAAAACUCACGUAGUAUUUAACAUUUAAUCUUUCCGUAUUAAAAGAUUCUUAUUAUCAUCCUUUCACUUUGAAACACCUACGAAUUUUAUAGAGAAAAAGAGACAUGGUUAUCUAUUAUUCUUUGUUCGCUAUAUACGCGCGCGCGCGCGCAUAUGUAUGCAUGUAUGUAUGUAUGUAUAAGCAGAUUAACAUUGUUCUCUGUUUAUAAAGCAUGCAACUCAAGUUUGGAAACCGUAAAUGAGUUUUAAAGUAUGAAUGAAAAUGUUUCUUCGUGAUCGAGUCUGGUAUCGAUGUGAAAGAAUAACAGAGGGGUCUAUCGGAUUUCUUUGUGUCGUUGACACGCGCGUGUUGUAACAUGCAUCUGCGUGGUAAUGCGUAACAACAUAACAUCUCUUUGAGAAUAACCUAUGUAACGAAGAGGAGGCCAAUUUCGACGUAACUUUCGAGAGCACGCGUAUGUGUUAUAUAUAUAAUAUAUAACAUAUAUAUAUAUAUAUAUGUACGUAGCGAGCAAAAAUGAUCGAAACAUUACUGCGCUUUCAUAUCGGAUUCGUGUACGACAGAAAAGCAGUAUGGACGUGUAUAGUAGACAUAAUAGUUUCAUUUAUUUACACACAUCUUAUGGCUAGAUUACAGAUAUUACAGAUAUAGUAAAUUUAUAGAUGCAAUAAUGUAGUUAAUAUUAUAUGAAAAGAAAUUAGGUGGAUAAUUUAAUAUUAAAAAUGAAGAAAUUAUGCAAAAAGUAUUCAUUAUAAUGUUUAAUAAAUGAAAUACAUCUUAA